rnacentral:rRNA from 1 species
AUUGAACGCUGGCGGCAUGCUUUACACAUGCAAGUCGGACGAGUGGCGAACGGGUGAGUAACGCAUCGGAACGUACCGAGUAACGGGGGAUAACUGCCCGAAAGGACAGCUAAUACCGCAUAUUAUUCGAGCGGCCGAUGUCUGAUUAGCUGGUGGGCGGGGUAAAGGCUCACAAAGGCGACGAUCAGUAGCGGGUCUGAGAGGAUGAGCGGCCACACUGGGACUGAGACACGGCCCAGACUCCUACGGGAGGCAGCAGUGGGGAAUUUUGGACAAUGGGGGCAAGCCUGAUCCAGCCUUGCCGCGUGUCUGAAGAAGGCCUUCGGGUUGUAAAGUACUUUCGGUAGGGAGGCGGUAUCUGCAGAAGAAGCACCGGCUAACUACGUGCCAGCAGCCGCGGUAAUAC